rnacentral:pre_miRNA from 9 species
UCUCGAUAGCGUAAAAGUUAACUCAAAUUAGUAUGGAGUUGGACAGUGUUCCUAAGUUUGUCGCUAGGGGCGCUGUUCCAAUUGCAUACAAAUUUGAGUUAACUUUUACGCGAUCGA